rnacentral:rRNA from 1 species
GACGGAGGGUGCUAGCGUUGUUCGGAAUCACUGGGCGUAAAGGGCGCGUAGGCGGCCUUGCAAGUCGGUUGGUGAAAGCCCGGGGCUCAACCCCGGAGGUGCGGCCGAGACUGCAGGGCUGGAGGCCGGAAGAGGAGGGUGGAAUACCCCAGUGUAGAGGUGAAAUUCGUAGAUAUUGGGUGGAACACCGGUGGCGAAAGCGGCUCUCUGGUCCGGACCUGACGCUGAGGCGCGAAAGCGUGGGGAGCAAACAGG